rnacentral:rRNA from 1 species
CUAACAAGGAUUCCCCUAGUAACGGCGAGUGAAGCGGGAAGAGCUCAAAUUUGAAAUCUGGCGGUCUGUGGCCGUCCGAGUUGUAGUCUGGAGAAGCGUUUUCUGUAUCGGACCGUGUACAAGUCCCUUGGAACAGGGCGUCACAGAGGGUGAGAAUCCCGUCUUUGACACGGACUGCCGGUGCUUUGUGAUGCGCUCUCGAAGAGUCGAGUUGUUUGGGAAUGCAGCUCAAAUCGGGUGGUAAAUUCCAUCUAAAGCUAAAUAUUGGCGAAAGACCGAUAGCGAACAAGUACCGUGAGGGAAAGAUGAAAAGCACUUUGGAAAGAGAGUUAAACAGUACGUGAAAUUGUUGAAAGGGAAACGCUUGAAGUCAGUCGCGUCUUCCGGGAUUCAGCCUUGCGUUUCUUUCGCUUGGCGUACUUCCCGGAGUUUGACGGGCCAGUGUCGAUUUCGAUCGUCGGAGAAAGGUCUUGGGAAUGUGGCACCUUCGGGUGUGUUAUAGCCCUCGGUCGUAUGCGACGGUCGGGAUCGAGGAUCGCAGCACGCCUCUUUUGGCCGGGGUUCGCCCACGUAACGUGCUUAGGAUGCUGGCGUAAUGGCUUUAAG